rnacentral:rRNA from 1 species
UACGUAGGGUGCGAGCGUUGUCCGGAAUUACUGGGCGUAAAGAGCUCGUAGGUGGUUUGUCGCGUUGUCCGUGAAAACUCACAACUCAAUUGUGGGCGUGCGGGCGAUACGGGCAGACUGGAGUACUGCAGGGGAGACUGGAAUUCCUGGUGUAGCGGUGGAAUGCGCAGAUAUCAGGAGGAACACCGGUGGCGAAGGCGGGUCUCUGGGGCAGUAACUGACGCUGAGGAGCGAAAGCGUGGGGAGCGAACAGG